rnacentral:ncRNA from 1 species
CUCUGGCCCGGCGUUCAUGGGCACAGGGCGUGAAAGAG